rnacentral:rRNA from 1 species
AUGGGAGUGUUUAAACUCAAUCCGAGCUUCUGUGAUAAAUAUGAGAAGGUCAUUAGAGAUUUUUGGUGGGGCGACAAAGACGACAAACGCAAGGUCCACUGGAUGUCGUGGGAAAAUAUGACAAAACCAAAAUGUGAUGGUGGUAUUGGCUUCCAGGAUAUGCACCUGUUUAAUCAGGCUCUGCUAGCUAGGCAAGGUUGGAGACUGCUUCAUAAGCCAGGUAGUCUCUGUGCUAGGGUACUGAAAUCGAAAUACUACCCUAAUGGUAAUCUCCUCAAUACCAUCUUCUGGUCGGAUGCAUCCCCAGUGUGGAGGGGAAUUGAGUUCGGCCUGGACCUUCUGAAAAAGGGUCUCUUUUGGAGAAUCGGAGACGGCAGAAGCAUUCAAAUUACAAGAGAUCAGUGGAUUCCAAGGAAAGAGGGAUUGAAAGUGGCGUCUUUUAGAAGGAGAUCCAGGCUGAGGUGGGUAAACCAACUGAUUGACACACAAACUAAAGAGUGGAAUGUCGAACUAGUGAGGCAGAUUUUCCACUCCUUUGAUGCAGGCGAGAUAUGCAAAUUAAAAAUUCCACGGGCUGAUGUAGAGGAUUGUAUUGCUUGGCACUACGAUAAAACGGGAAUCUUCACGGUCAGGAGUGCCUACAAGCUUGCUGAUUCACUAAAAAGAAGUGGUACAGAAAGAGCUACAAGCUCGCCGAGAGACGCGGGUGAUCGCAGCAUAUGGGACGCAAUCUGGAAGGCUAAGAUACCGGAGAAGGUGUAG